rnacentral:rRNA from 1 species
CCUACGGGAGGCAGCAGUGGGGAAUAUUGCACAAUGGGCGCAAGCCUGAUGCAGCGACGCCGCGUGAGGGAUGACGGCCUUCGGGUUGUAAACCUCUUUCAGUAGGGAAGAAGCGUAAGUGACGGUACCUGCAGAAGAAGCGCCGGCUAACUACGUGCCAGCAGCCGCGGUAAUACGUAGGGCGCAAGCGUUAUCCGGAAUUAUUGGGCGUAAAGAGCUCGUAGGCGGUUUGUCGCGUCUGCCGUGAAAGUCCGGGGCUCAACUCCGGAUCUGCGGUGGGUACGGGCAGACUAGAGUGAUGUAGGGGAGACUGGAAUUCCUGGUGUAGCGGUGAAAUGCGCAGAUAUCAGGAGGGACACCGAUGGCGAAGGCAGGUCUCUGGGCAUUAACUGACGCUGAGGAGCGAAAGCAUGGGGAGCGAACAGGAUUAGAUACCCUGGUAGUCCAUGCCGUAAACGUUGGGCACUAGGUGUGGGGGACAUUCCACGUUUUCCGCGCCGUAGCUAACGCAUUAAGUGCCCCGCCUGGGGAGUACGGCCGCAAGGCUAAAACUUAAGAGUAGUACGGA